UCGCCACUCACCAACCCAUUCCUUCAGAAUGACAAUUUUACCCUCACUUAUUUAACAUCUAUUACAUAAGGCCUAGGGACUUUAUUGUCUUUUAACAUAAAAAAAAACUUAAUAAAAUUACAGCUGUAAAUAAAAUUUUACAUUGCCUAUUACUCUUUCUCUCUCUCUGCAAGUUUACCCAUCUUCGUCCCCUCCGCCUCGCCACUGUGGUCUUCAUCGGGAGCUUCCAUAGCUGCGCCGCCUCGUCCUCCAGCACCCCCACGAGCGGCUUCCAACCCCUCACCAACAUCCUCCCUCGCCGUGGGCAAACGCGCGCCGCCUCGUCCUCCCCUGCGGCCAGAAGCCGCAGGUACCCGUCUUCUAGCCAAACCCGCAGGUGGAACCGCCUUUGAGGUUGACCUCAAAACCCUAAUCCAACCCCUUACCAACAUCCUCCCCCGUGGCCAGAAGCUCAUCUUCAAAGGUGCGUGCCACAAACCCUAGAUCGCUCAUCCUUGAUAUCUUCCCGACGGCGGUGGAUGCUCGCAGCUUGUUAGCUCGCAGCUUGUCACCCUGCACUCUACGCCCUUUGUUAGCUCGCAGCUUGUUUCACCCGUUGCCUCUCGGUCGCUAGUUCAUGUGGAUGCUUCAUUGUCUCUCAGUCAUCGCCGCAGCAGCCGUUGCCAUCCCUAUCGUAAUUUUUUGAGUAGUGCAUGAUGAUUCUUGGGACAAGAAAGACAAUGAACUGCAAGCUCCUCUUUUUGUUUCUAAACUGACCUUUUUUUUCCGAAAAAAUUUCCGGCGUGGAAAGAUGCUUAAGAGAAUCAUUACUCCAGAUCACAACUGGCACAACAUAGGAACUAUUCGUUACUUAUGAAAAGAGUCUCCAUAUAACUGGAAGCACAAGAUAAAUGUAGACGGUAAAGAUUUAUAAGAGGUGGUGGCGAGAAAAAUUUUGGCAGUAUUUUGACGAUAUAUGAAUCAAGUUUAAGUAAACUUGACAUAUUUUGAAAACUUUACAUUUGAUAGCAUGUAGAAAUGACAAAAACACUAUUAUUGUGUUUUGUUUUUUUGUUGUGUUGGGUGUAUUAGGUGACAAUGCAAUGAUACUCUAACAUUUAAA